rnacentral:rRNA from 1 species
UACGGGGGGGAGCAAGCGUUGUUCGGAUUUACUGGGCGUAAAGAGCGUGUAGGCGGCCAGGUAGGUCGGUUGUGAAAACUGGAGGCUCAACCUUCAGAGGUCGACCGAAACCAUCUGGCUAGAGUCCGGGAGAGGAGAGUGGAAUUCCUGGUGUAGCGGUGAAAUACGCAGAUAUCAGGAGGAACACCAAUUGCGAAGGCAGCUCGCUGGGACGUCACUGACGCUGAGACGCGAAAGCGUGGGGAGCAAACAGG